CUGGGAAUCACCAGGAAAGUAUCAGUCUCUACAUAAUUGACUUGCCUCACUCUCCCCUGGUUCUUGGCCAUCCUUGGUUAAAACUGCACAAUUCACAGAUUGAUUGGACCACCGGAAAGAUAACCAAUUGGAGUUAAUUUUGUCACUCAAAUUGUCUUCGUUCUGCCCUUGCCCCUGCCUUGUCUGUGCCCCAGUCCAUUCCAGAAUUCCGGACCUGUCAUCAGUUCCUCUCGAGUAUCACGAUCUAGCUCCUGUGUUCAACAAGCGCCACGCCCUGUUGCUGCCGCCUCAUCGGCCGUACAACUGCACCAUUGACCUCCAGCCUAGAGCUCCACUCCCCUGUACCCCGAGCAGGAGGCUAUGGAGGGGUACAUCCAGGAUUCCCUGGCUGCAGGACAUAUCAGGCCUUGUUCCUCUCCGUUCUGUCCCCUCUGACUCUGGUCCCUGUCUCCAGUCCCAUGUCUCGUCAGUCCUGCUACCCUGUCCUGGACCCCCCACUCUACUGCUUCCUUGGAUUCCUCUCCGGACCUGCUUACCCAGCCCCAUCUCCCCUCGCUCUAGCCUCAGUACCUGGCUCCCUGCAACCCGACCGAGCUUUCCCUGCCUGCGCCUCAUCUUCACCCUGUUUUUCAAUAAAUACAAUACACCUUAUCCUGGUCUUAUUCUGGUCUGGUCUUGGGUUCACCUGCUCCGCUCCGCAUAACACUAGGAAAGCUGUUCUCAUGGAUAUCAUGGUUCAGAUAGAUGCUAUCAGGUUACAGGUCAUGACAGGUACGCUGUUGUGGAAUGAAACUGUUCCCCCAAUAAAACCUAGAAACUUCCUGCCAUCUCUUAACUUUCCUCUCUGCUCUGCUGUUCAAAGGUCUCAGAGUAAACAUUUUUCAGCAUUAAAGAUGAAGAUCAGGACCACAUGGGGCCUGGCUACGUAGUGGAGCACCGUUCAUGCCAUGCCUCAAUUCUCCCACCCUGCCUCCUCAAAAUCAUCUCCUCUUUCAGACGGCCAG
rnacentral:lncRNA from 1 species